rnacentral:misc_RNA from 1 species
ACUGUAGGAUGAACAGCCGUAGCUGGUGCACCUACUAAAUCUUUGGAUGUUAUGGAUCCAUAUAGUCCUGAACCUCUUAAACCCUUUAAGAAAGUAAUAGAAUUAUUUUAAAUUUUUUAAUUUUAUAUGACCUAAAACUUACCUCCAAAGCAAGGCCUUUUUCGGCCGCAAGUCUUUUAGCCAAUGGGCUAAUAUAUAUUCUCUCUCCUGAUGUAGUAGGCAGUGAUUUUGGGACAGAAGGUGCCGCAGGUGCUGGUGGCGUUACAGGAGAUGGUGGGGGAGUAGAUGGUGGAGAAGCAGCUGAUGCAGUAGUUGCUGGAGUAUCGUCUUUAAAAUCUUUGAAGGCAGCUACAGAACUUUCAUCAGGGACAAUUAUACAAACUAAUUUGCCUAUAGCAACAUUUUUUGUUCCUGCAGCUACUAUAAUUUUUGCCAGAUAGCCUUCUUCUGGUGUUUCAAAACCCAUUGUAGCUUUAUCAGUUUCAAUUUCAGCAAGUAGAUCACCUUCAUUCAACUUGUCACCUAAGAUGAUGAUACAACAUUAACAAUUGUUAAUGAGUUUAUUAUACACAUGAAUUAUUUACAUUACCUUCCUUUUUGUGCCAAUUGACAAUUGUGCCUGUUUCCAUAGUAGGUGAUAAUGCAGGAAGCUGCACUUUGACGUGAUCCGGAUAAUCUGCAUAAUACCUUAACUGUUGUUUCCACGGAGUUACCAUAAAACGUAAGGUGUUAUGAAUUUGAAUCCUAAGUAUCAAAUAAAAAUGUGUAAAUUUUUCUAAAAGAAUGUGUAAAAUUUUCCUUGAAAUGUAAAAAUACAAAUCUACACUAUUAAGUAUCCUGAAUGAAUAAGAGACUAAUGCAAAUCAAAUAUAACAAAAUCGUUCUAAAAUAGAGAAAAGCAAAAGAGGAUUAUGAAAUCAUUUGCAUUUAUGGCUUUGAUUAUCCUCAUCAAUAACAGGUGGAAAUAAUGCCAUACUUGAAAACUUUUAAGUAAAAUUGGAAGAUAGAAUGACUUUAAGAUAACCUUAAUCAUAAUCAAUGAAAUAAAUUUUAAUCAGAGGACAACAAAACUUAGAACAAUAAGUUAAGAUGGUAAUAACGGAAAAUGAAAUACCUUUGUACAUAUUUUCUGUGAAGACAUCGUAUGAUCACAGAUCUUACGGUAUUCGUCCGCACAGAACUUCGUAGUAUUGCGUUUGCCAAUUCAUUACGUAGGCCCGUUGUCGUUCGUAUCAUAUCUCGGAUGAUUCGUGGAUCUUUUACUACCGGUUUUAGUAGAAAGUGGCAAGAAAUUCGACGU